GACGAACCGUGCGAACGUUGUUCGGAAUAACUGGGCUUAAAGGGAGCGUAGGCGGGCUAACAAGUCUGGGGUGAAAUCCCGCGGCUCAACCGUGGAACUGCCUUAGAUACUGUCGGCCUCGAGGGAGAUAGGGGCAUGCGGAACUAACGGUGGAGCGGUGAAAUGCGUUGAUAUCGUUAGGAACUCCGGUGGCGAAGGCGGCCCUCUGGACGGUGACUGACGCUGAGACGCGAAAGCGUGGGGAGCAAACAGG
rnacentral:rRNA from 1 species